UCCACCGUCUGCCACCGCAAGCCUAAGAAGUGAAUCCUCCAUCACUGGCGUCGCAGCCGUGUACACCCUAGAGUUGCAUCAACAGAAGAUCAAAAUGAGGACCUGGCACAGGAAACUUCAUCUAAGGAUGUCCCAGGCGUUCACAUGGUGGACAAAGCCACAGAGACAAACAGUAUGUAUUCUGGGAUCACCCCUAUGCUGAAGAAGAAUUCUAGUGUUGACAAAGGUGACACUUUCUUGCCUCAUUUUUUCUGGAGAGCCACUCUGGUUUGAACUUCCUGCCAGAAAUGUGGUUCAAGCACUUUUGUCUUGAAAAGUGAAGAACCCGGUCAAGAAAUGUGACCGUUGACUCUAGUGCCUGGAAGGAAGAGUGUCAUUUGGAUAGAAGAGGGUCCUGUGCAUCAGGGUUGGGAGGUAUGGAGGAAUGAGUCAAUGUGGAGUGAUUGUGAAUGUCUCUGCGAGUUUGUGUGCUUUUUGCCAGAAAAUAUGUUCCCAUGUGCAAAGCACAACACAAAGAUUGAUAUUCUAAAAACAACAUUUCAUCACCACUGCGUUUUCCAAAAAUCAACCCAUUCAUUCCUCACCACAGCUGUAGCUGAAGGUUAAGUUUGAUAUGCCCAGUCCUCACAUGGAGAUGACGUAGAGAUGAAUUUUUCAGGCUUUUGUUCUCCUAAGUGGAAAUGGCAUAGAUGAACUCAGGAAUGGGUGGAAGGGUGAUGCUGUGGGCUACUAGUCUGAAGUUAUCACAUGGCCCUGGUGUAACUUGUCACCGUGUCAGAGUCCUUAGCGUCUCUGUGUAUAUGUGGAAGUAUGUUGGCCUAUAAAGAUCUCCAGCACUGUAUACCACAAUAGAAUGGUCUCAAUGGUCAGCUGACCCACAGUUUGAGUAGGUUCAUUGUACAGUGGACUUUGGUGUGGUCAUUAAUAUGAAACAUACAGAGGGAGCUGCCAGGCCUCUGGUUUUAAGUGAUGGGGUAUUCCUCAGCUCCUGGUCAAGGGCAGAGAACAUUCAGAGAUAUAUUCUAUUGUAUUUAAUGAGAUCAUCACCACAAAUGUUAGAAAUGCUCCAAUUCAGUAGCACACAUACCCAAGACACGGCACCCAACAAGAUCUCAAGGAGCCAAUUGGCUCUUAGCCUGGUGCCCAUCUCCUCUGCUGGAAUCUUCUGCACAGCUGGGUAACAGAGGGUCAGAACCCCCACCUGCUGCCACCCAUGAAAGGCUGUCCCAGUCCUGGAGCCACUGUGAGUAUGAGCAACAGCGGGCCCCAUGACACACACACACUGUGUUAAAAGAAAGAGCAGAAGGACAAAUAUCACAGGCCAAGUAGGGGUCAUCUUUAAAUGGUAGGAUAAUUGAGUAUUUUCAAGUCUUGGUUUAGUCUUCUUUAAAACAGAAGGUUAAUGAAUACAUAGAAUAUUUUGGCUAGAAUUAAAUCUCCUCUUUGAAGAAAGGUAGCUUUUUGUAUCGUACAAAUUGUGGCCAGGCACGGUGGCUCACGCCUGUAAUCCCAGCACUUUGGGAGGCCAAGGCGGGCAGAUCACGAGGUCAGGAGAUCAAGACCAUCCUGGCUAACAUGGUGAAACCUGUCUCUACUAUAAAUACAAAAAUUAACUGGGCAUGUUAGCGGGCACCUGUAAUCUCAGCUACUCAGGAGGCUGAGGCCAGUGAAUUGCUUGAACCAGAGAGGCGCAUGUUGCAGUGAGCUGAGAUCAUGCCACUGCAUUCCAGCCUGGGCAACAGAGAGAGACCCUAUCUCAAGAAAAGCAAAACAUAUAAAAAAAUUUUUUAAAUAUAGAUUUUUGGGCUUUGUUUCAUACAUGAUUCCCACCAGCAGAGAGACCUAAGAAUGUGCAUUUUUAUCAAGCCCUCUAGUGACCUUUAUGAUCAGGCAAACUCAGGUAAUAACAUUGAUUGAAGGGUUGGUGAGUGCAUAUUUUCCAGGUUAAAAUGAUACUGGACAUAGAGCAGUAGUUCUCAAAUUUUAAUGUGCUUAAGAAUCACCAGGAAAGUUGUUAAAAAUUAGAUAUCCAGAGAUUUAGACAUCCAGAGAUUUAGAUUCAGAGCUCUGGGAGACACUCAAAAAUUUGCAUUUUUAACCAGUUUCUUCUCUCCAGGGUAAAUCAUUCAGAGGCACUUGUCUUCAUCCAUUCUGUGCUGCUAUAACAGAUUCAGAGAGUACGUACAUUUGCAGGUUUGUUACGUGAGUAUUUCGCAUGAUGCUGAGGUCUUGGGUAUGAAUGAUCCCGUCACCCAGAUAGUGAGUGUAGUACCCAAUAGGUGGUUUUUCUGCCCUUGCCUUCCCCCUCUCUUCCCUCUACCCCCUCUAGUAGCACCGUGUCUGCUGUCCCCAUCUUUAUGUCCAUAUGUACCCAAAGUAUGUCCAUAUGUCCCACUUGUAAGUAAGGACAUGCAGCAUUUGGUUUUCUGUUUCUAUGUUAAUUCUCUUAGGAUUAUGGCCUCUGGUUGCAUCCAUGUUGCUGCAAAAGACAUGAUCUCAUUCUUUUUUAUGGCUCUGUAGUAUUUUACAGCAUAUAUGUACCACAUUUUCUUUAUCCAGUCCACGACUGAUGGGCAUAUAAGUUGACUUCAUGUCUUUACUAUUGUGAAUAGUGCUGCAAUAAACAUACAAGUGCAUGUGCCUUUUUGGUACAAUGAUUUAUUUUCUUUUGGGUCUCUAUCAAGUAAUGAGAUUGCUGGGUAAAUGGUAGUCCUGGGCAGACUGCUUGAGUCCAGGAGUUUGUGACCAGCCUGGGCAACAUGGCAAAACCCCAUCUCUACUAAAAAUACAAAGAAAUUAGUUGGGCAUGGUGGCACAUGCCUAUAGCCCCAGCUACUUGGGAGGCUGAGAUGGGAGAAUCA